rnacentral:rRNA from 1 species
CGCGUAGAUAACCUGUCUUCAUGUCUGGAAUAAUACGCCAAAGGGGUACUAAUACCGGAUAUCUUGCUUUUCAUAAGUUAUGCAAGCAAAGGUGGCCUCUGCAUAUGCUACUGCAUGAAGAGGGGUCUGCGUACCAUUAGCUAGUAGUGGGGUAAUGGCCUACCUAGGCGACGAUGGUUAGCGGGUCUGAGAGGAUGAUCCGCCACACUGGCACUGGAACACGGGCCAGACUCCUACGGGAGGCAGCAGUGAGGAAUACUGCGCAAUGGGGGAAACCCUGACGCAGCGACGCCGCGUGAGUGAAGGAAGGCCUUCGGGUCGUAAAGCUCUGUCAAGAGGAAAGAAGUGUGCAAUGGCUAAUACCUGUUGUAUUUGACGGUACCUCUAAAGGAAGCACCGGCUAACUCCGUGCCAGCCGCUGC